UGCUGGCCUGGCCCUGCAGAGUCAGUGGGUGGAGUAUUAUCAUUGUCAAUAAUUGGCACCACCUGCUCAAAAAACAACAAUUACAAGGACCAAUAUCAAUAAGCCAACCUCACCCUUCCAAUACGAUCACAUUGUCUUAGAAUAGAGACCUUUUAUUCUCAUUUAGAAUGGAGAUGUGAGAGAAAGCUCUGUGCUGUGCUUACUGCUGACUGCUUACAACUUGUACCACCAUGCAACACCCCAAAAUGACAGGACAAAAACCCUACCAGUAAUGUUCAAAUGGAGGCUGAGGAGGGUCCAUUGCAAUAAUUAAAGCCAUACCAAACACCACUAGGAAUAAAAGUGUUGUAGGUAAAUGUAAUUGACCUAGUGUUAUACCCAUACACAGUCACACUAUUUGGUUUCCAGCCAUCAUAGCCACUCCUGUAGAGGUACAAAUAGCAAAUCUGGUAUGUGCAAGGCCCCUUUAUCUGAAACGUAUCUGUAGAGCAACUCUCAAAUGUUGCUGAAUAUGGAUCAUCUAUUCUGGGAACAUAAACCUGAUUGCCAUAAGCGUCUCCAAAUGCGAGACUGAUAUGGUCUCGCGUAUACCGUGUUGAGGAACAGCUUGUCGUUAUCUGAACUGUGUAAGAACAGCUAUUGGCAUUCUGGGUGGUGUUGAUCUUGAAGGAUCUGAAAGGCUGCGGCAGAGGAAUGAUUGACCUCGCUUGCGAAGGGGUGAAUAUAAAGGCCAAGAAGAGCAAAAAUGUCACUGCUCUGCCUUUGAUCAUUUUCCCAACAAGCAUCUGAACUGAUCAGAGAGGGAGAGACGAAGACCGCGUCUGAGACACUGGAGUCCGGAUAGGUUCCAAGUUCCCGUAGCAGCGCGGCACACUAUGACUAUAAAUCAAAGAACUUUCCAGCAAACAAGGGUAUAUAAGUCUUUUAAUUUCUUCUAAUAGACAUGUGAAUUAUGGAUUGUCCUGAGCGCAAAAGGAAAUGCCACUUUUAGUGGGCUGUUCUUGGUAAUUUCCAACUGCAAAAUUAAAAAAAUUUCUUAUUAUUUAAGCCUCCAUGUAUAGAAUCCAGGCUGGGAAACGAACAAAUCGACCUACUUUGAGAGGAAGUUUGCAACUUUAGGGGUUAGUGCUGCUUUCUUUCAAGAGAAUGUAUCUUUAUCUGGAAGAAUGAUUAGGACUUUUGUGGCUUCUCAAUAAACACGUCAAUCAAUUGGAAAGUUAUUGAACUAUGCAAUGCUUAAUUUU
rnacentral:misc_RNA from 1 species